GGCAGGCUAAAGACUCAAUAUAAUUAUUAAUUAUUUCAAAUUUGCCUAACCUUUAUUAGAGAUGGAGCCCAACGACGAAACCAAAUUAAUAAAAUUUGCUCUUCACAUUUGACUUGGAAGAGGUGUUUGAAUAUCUCUGUAGGAACGGUGUAACGUUCAAAUCGCUACAAAUUUUGUCUGCAGAUGACAUCCGCGAUGCGGUUCCGAAUAUCGGAAUAAGAGCGGAGUCUCGCGAAAAAUUGUUCGACCGGCGAAAGACCCAGAAUUUUGGUGAAGACGGGCAGAAAAAACUGUAAAUGGAAAACAAAGAGAACAACGCUCCAAUCGCUCAAGGAAGUUUUGUGUGAUACAAUUUUUUUACAAAUAAUUAAAUAUUUU